rnacentral:rRNA from 1 species
UACGUAGGGUCCAAGCGUUAUCCGGAUUUAUUGGGCGUAAAGAACAUGUAGGUGGAUUGAUAAGUCUCGUCUUAAAGCUCUGGGCUCAACCCAGAAUCUGGACAAGAUACUAUCAUUCUAGUGGUCAGCAGGGGCAAAUGGAAUUCCCGGUGUAGGAGUGAAAUCCGUUGAUAUCGGGAGGAACACCAAUGGCGAAGGCAGUUUGCUAGGCUGAUUCAGACACUGAGAUGUGAAAGCGUGGGGAGCGAACGGG